GACGUAGGGCGCGAGCGUUGUCCGGAUUUAUUGGGCGUAAAGAGCUCGUAGGCGGCUUGUUACGUCGUUCGUGAAAACUUGGGGCUCAACUCCAAGCUUGCGGUCGAUACGGGCAGGCUAGAGUUCGGUAGGGGAGACUGGAAUUCCUGGUGUAGCGGUGAAAUGCGCAGAUAUCAGGAGGAACACCGGUGGCGAAGGCGGGUCUCUGGGCCGAUACUGACGCUGAGGAGCGAAAGCGUGGGGAG
rnacentral:rRNA from 1 species